AGUGAACGCUGGCGGUAGGCCUAACGCAUGCAAGUCGAACGGCAGCACAGUAAGAGCUUGCUCUUACGGGUGGCGAGUGGCGGACGGGUGAGGAAUACAUCGGAAUCUACUUUUUCGUGGGGGAUAACGUAGGGAAACUUACGCUAAUACCGCAUACGACCUACGGGUGAAAGCAGGGGAUCUUCGGACCUUGCGCGAUUGAAUGAGCCGAUGUCGGAUUAGCUAGUUGGCGGGGUAAAGGCCCACCAAGGCGACGAUCCGUAGCUGGUCUGAGAGGAUGGUCGCCCACACGUGACAUGAGGACGGGUCCGAACUCUUGGGGGAGGCGACGGGGGGGAAUGUUGGCAAUGGGGCGAAAGCCGGUGCCACCCGAACCGCGGGGGGAAAGAAGCCCUUCGGGUUUUAAAGCCCGUUUUUUGGAAAAAAAAAGCAGCGGGUUAAUACCCCGUUUGUUGGCCUGUUCCCAAAAAAAAGGCACCGGCAAACAUGGU
rnacentral:rRNA from 1 species